GGGAGGAUACCAGAGCGGUCAAAUGGGGCAGACUGUAAAUCUGUUGGCGAAGCCUACGGUGGUUCGAAUCCACCUCCUCCCA
rnacentral:tRNA from 5 species